rnacentral:hammerhead_ribozyme from 1 species
GUAGUGUUGAAGAGUCCCAAACUAGGACGAAACAGCUGUCCAGUAC